UAUAUUUGCCGCCUCAAUGAUAGCAUUGAAAUACAUAAAAAUCAUUUAAAAAAAUAUUGGAAUG
rnacentral:ncRNA from 1 species